AGUGAGGAAUAUUGCGCAAUGGGGGCAACCCUGACGCAGCGACGCCGCGUGAGUGAGGAAGGCCUUCGGGUCGUAAAGCUCUGUCAAAGGGAAAGAAAUGCAUAAUGGCUAAUACCUGUUAUGUUUGACGGUACCCUUAAAGGAAGCACCGGCUAACUCCGUGCCAGCAGCCGCGGUAAUACGGAGGGUGCAAGCGUUGUUCGGAAUUACUGGGCGUAAAGGGCGCGUAGGCGGUUUGAUAAGUCAGAUGUGAAAGCCCACGGCUUAACUGUGGAAGUGCAUUUGAAACUGUCAGACUUGAGUACCAGAGGGGAAAGUGGAAUUCCCGGUGUAGAGGUGAAAUUCGUAGAUAUCGGGAGGAAUACCGGUGGCGAAGGCGACUUUCUGGCUGGAUACUGACGCUGAGGCGCGAAAGCGUGGGGAGCAAACAGGAUUAGAUACCCUGGUAGUCCACGCUGUAAACGAUGUCAACUAGAUGUAGGGGGUGUUGAUCCCUUCUGUGUCGCAGCUAACGCAUUAAGUUGACCGCCUGGGGAGUACGGUCGCAAGAUU
rnacentral:rRNA from 1 species